rnacentral:rRNA from 1 species
CCGGCUAACUUCGUGCCAGCAGCCGCGGUAAUACGAAGGGUGCAAGCGUUAAUCGGAAUUACUGGGCGUAAAGCGCGCGUAGGUGGUUCAGCAAGUUGGAUGUGAAAUACCCCGGGCUCAACCUGGGAACUGCAUCCAAAACUACUGAGCUAGAGUACGGUAGAGGGUGGUGGAAUUUCCUGUGUAGCGGUGAAAUGCGUAGAUAUAGGAAGGAACACCAGUGGCGAAGGCGACCACCUGGACUGAUACUGACACUGACGGUGCGAAAGCGUGGGGAGCAAACAGGAUUAGAUACCCUGGUAG